GCACCAUUAACUCAACUGGGAGAGUGUUUCUUUUACAAGGAAAAAGUUGAAGGUUCGAGUCCUUCAUGGUGUACCA
rnacentral:tRNA from 1 species